rnacentral:rRNA from 1 species
AGAGUUUGAUCCUGCUUCAGGACGAACGCUGGGGGCGUGCCUAACACAUGCAAGUCGAACGGGAUCCAUGGAGUGCUUGCACUCCGAAAGAUCUAGUGGCGAACGGGUGAGUAACACGUGAGAAACCUGCCCCAGACUCUGGGAUAACCUCGGGAAACCGAAGCUAAUACCGGAUAUUCUCCUUUGGUCGCAUGGCCAGUUGAGGAAAGUUUUUCGGUCUGGGAGGGUCUCGCGGCCUAUCAGCUAGUUGGUGGGGUAACGGCCCACCAAGGCUACGACGGGUAGCUGGUUUGAGAGAACGAUCAGCCACACUGGAACUGAGACACGGUCCAGACUCCUACGGGAGGCAGCAGUGGGGAAUCUUGCGCAAUGGGCGAAAGCCUGACGCAGCAACGCCGCGUGCGGGAUGAAGGCCUUCGGGUUGUAAACCGCUUUCAGCAGGGACGAAAAUGACGGUACCUGCAGAAGAAGCCCCGGCUAACUACGUGCCAGCAGCCGCGGUAAUACGUAGGGGGCAAGCGUUGUCCGGAUUUAUUGGGCGUAAAGAGCUCGUAGGCGGUUCCGUAAGUCGAGUGUGAAAAAUCUGGGC